UUUAAGUGCAAACGUAAGUUUCCGUACCCAACUUUAAUCGUUCGUAUUAUUUGAUAAUUUUUUAUAUAUAGUAUUUUUUUUAUGAGAUGAUAAAAUAUAGAUAGUACUUUACUCAUGACUUUCUUUUAAUUUUUCAAAAAAUAUUUUUAAAUAAAAUAAACAUUUAAAAUUGAACACGGAAAAUUAUAAUUACAUUUAAA
rfam:Oryza glumipatula chromosome 1, whole genome shotgun sequence.